AUGCUCACUUAGGCAGCAUAUAUACUAAAAUUGGAAUGAUACAGGGAAGAUUAGUAUGGCCCUUGGGCAAGGAUGACAUGUAAAUUCAUGAAGUGCUCCAUAUUUUG
rnacentral:snRNA from 1 species